rnacentral:lncRNA from 1 species
GGCGAUGGUGGGCUGGUGGCGCGGGUGCACAUGCUGCCGGAGCCUAGGCGAGCGCGGCUGCCGGUGUGGCUGGGCAAGCUAGGGUGCGCCGAUGUUAAUGCAUCCAUGCUGCUGCGUGCGCCUCAAAGGCGAGAGCCAAAGGUAUUAAUUCCCGAUAGCGUUUGGUAUAUUCAGGAUAAAAAUAGGUAAGAAGCACCUGAUUAUUGUAGCAAUUGGAUCAAGACUUUAAUUGUGAAAAAAAUCAGAUCAAGACUUUGGUACAUACAUGGUUGUAUGGGCCGCUUAAUUCUGUGCAUGACUCCGAUUCAUCCCUGAUUCCCUUCUGUAUGUUCCUCUCAUUGCUGGCUGAAGACAGUGUCCUCUUGCUUCUGACGUGGGCAAGUGGAAGAGAUGAUUUCUUCUCAUGUGGCCAAAACGCUCGGAUGGAAGUGACUCGCGUUAGUGCAUAGCAUACAAGUGAAAACAAUCAAAUUAAUUAUUAAAUCAUUGAUGUUAAUCACAGAAGAUAAUGAAUUUGCUUUCUCCUGAUUGAUCUUUGCAGUGAGCGGCGUGGAAGCUGAUUUCUCCAGCAAUCAGG